UUGGUUAAGUUAGAAAGGGCGCACGGUGGAUGCCUUGGCACUAGGAGCCGAAGAAGGACGGGACUAACACCGAUAUGCUUUGGGGAGCUGUACGUAAGCGUUGAUCCAGAGAUUUCCGAAUGGGGGAACCCACUAUCUUUAGUCGGAUAGUAUCCUUACGUGAAUACAUAGCGUGAGGAAGGCAGACCCAGGGAACUGAAACAUCUAAGUACCUGGAGGAAGAGAAAGAAAAAUCGAUUUCCUGAGUAGCGGCGAGCGAAACGGAAAGAGCCCAAACCAAGAAGCUUGCUUCUUGGGGUUGUAGGACACUCUAUACGGAGUUACAAAAGAAAGUUAUAAAUGAAGCGGUCUGGAAAGGCCCGCCAAAGACGGUAACAGCCCGGUAGUUGAAAUGGCUUUCCCUCCAGAGUGGAUCCUGAGUACGGCGGAACACGUGAAAUUCCGUCGGAAUCCGGGAGGACCAUCUCCCAAGGCUAAAUACUCCCUAGUGACCGAUAGUGAACCAGUACCGUGAGGGAAAGGUGAAAAGCACCCCGGAAGGGGAGUGAAACAGUUCCUGAAACCGUGUGCCUACAAGUAGUUAGAGCCCGUUAAUGGGUGAUAGCGUGCCUUUUGUAGAAUGAACCGGCGAGUUACGAUUUGUUGCAAGGUUAAGCGGAAAAAGCGGAGCCGUAGCGAAAGCGAGUCUGAAUAGGGCGCAUAAGUAACAGGUCGUAGACCCGAAACCAGGUGAUCUACCCAUGUCCAGGAUGAAGGUAAGGUAAUACUUACUGGAGGUCCGAACCCACGCACGUUGAAAAGUGCGGGGAUGAGGUGUGGGUAGCGGAGAAAUUCCAAUCGAACUUGGAGAUAGCUGGUUCUCUCCGAAAUAGCUUUAGGGCUAGCCUCGAGGUAAAGAGUCAUGGAGGUAGAGCACUGUUUGGACUAGGGGCCCUUCUCGGGUUACCGAAUUCAGAUAAACUCCGAAUGCCAUGUACUUAUACUCGGGAGUCAGACUGCGAGUGAUAAGAUCCGUAGUCGAAAGGGAAACAGCCCAGACCACCAGUUAAGGUCCCCAAAUAUAUGUUAAGUGGAAAAGGAUGUGGGGUUGCUUAGACAACCAGGAUGUUGGCUUAGAAGCAGCCACCAUUGAAAGAGUGCGUAAUAGCUCACUGGUCGAGUGACCCCGCGCCGAAAAUGUACCGGGGCUAAACAUAUUACCGAAACUGUGGAUGAACCUCUUUAGAGGUUCGUGGUAGGAGAGCGUUCUAAGGGCGGUGAAGUCAGACCGGAAGGACUGGUGGAGCGCUUAGAAGUGAGAAUGCCGGUAUGAGUAGCGAAAGAAGGGUGAGAAUCCCUUCCACCGAAUAUCUAAGGUUUCCUGAGGAAGGCUCGUCCGCUCAGGGUUAGUCGGGACCUAAGCCGAGGCCGAUAGGCGUAGGCGAUGGACAACAGGUAGAGAUUCCUGUACCAGUGCUAAUUGUUUAACCGAUGGGGUGACACAGAAGGAUAGGGAAUCGCACGAAUGGAAAUGUGCGUCCAAGCAGUGAGUGUGAGAAGUAGGCAAAUCCGCUUCUCGCGAAGCAUGAGCUGUGAUGGGGAAGGAAAUUAAGUACGGAAGUUCCUGAUUUCACGCUGUCAAGAAAAGCCUCUAGGAAGAGUAGUACUGCCCGUACCGCAAACCGACACAGGUAGAUGAGGAGAGAAUCCUAAGGUGAGCGAGAGAACUCUCGUUAAGGAACUCGGCAAAAUGACCCCGUAACUUCGGGAGAAGGGGUGCUCUAUUAGGGUGCAAGCCCGAGAGAGCCGCAGUGAAUAGGCCCAGGCGACUGUUU
rnacentral:rRNA from 1 species